rnacentral:rRNA from 1 species
GACGAACGCUGGCGGCGUGCUUAACACAUGCAAGUCGAACGGAAAGGCCCUGCUUUUGUGGGGUGCUCGAGUGGCGAACGGGUGAGUAACACGUGAGUAACCUGCCCUUGACUUUGGGAUAACUUCAGGAAACUGGGGCUAAUACCGGAUAGGAGCUCCUGCUGCAUGGUGGGGGUUGGAAAGUUUCGGCGGUUGGAGAUGGACUCGCGGCUUAUCAGCUUGUUGGUGGGGUAGUGGCUUACCAAGGCUUUGACGGGUAGCCGGCCUGGGAGGGUGACCGGCCACAUUGGGACUGAGAUACGGCCCAGACUCCGACGGGAGGCAGCAGUGGGGAAUAUUGCACAAUGGGCGGAAGCCUGAUGCAGCAACGCCGCGUGCGGGAUGACGGCCUUCGGGUUGUAAACCGCUUUCGCCUGUGACGAAGCGUGAGUGACGGUAAUGGGUAAAGAAGCACCGGCUAACUACGUG